UGGAUGUGGGUGUCUUGCUGGUGCUUUGCC
rnacentral:piRNA from 1 species